CGAGAAAGUACAGUGUGACCUAAAAAUAAUAUGAACCCAAGCUGGAUCUAAAAAUGGUUCAUAUGCAACGUAAUGGGCUAUCUCACAUUCCCAGUUUCUCGACAAAGUCGUUCAAUGGCUCUAAAUUUAUUUUUACUUGGUAACUUUCUCCGAGGAAACUUUCCUGCAUAACGCGUAACAACUAUAUUAGAGAGUCCUAAACACUCGCCUAAGGUUAAUAACUUUGUUUCAGAAUCAGAUCAAAGUUGUGUAAUUGCGGAUUUACUCA